UUUCCUCGUUCUUGAUUUUCAUCUUGUUUACGAGCAGAACUCCACCUCCAGUCUAAACUACUAACAAUCACCACUUUCUUCUCUGCUCAUUUUAUUAUUCUUCGUUUUCUUCCUUAUCCUCUUAUUCUUUAACAAUCACAAGAACUAUAACCAUCAGCACCACUAUUUUCCAGUUUAAAAGAAGAAGAAAAUUCGAUCAAAAUCAUGUCAAAUGAUUGAUUAAAAGGGUGAUUCUAGAUAAUGAAUGGACUGCUUUGGAUGAUUUGGUUCUGUGUUGCAGUUUGUGAUAGAACGCCGAUUCUAAUGUAUGUAAAGAAUUUAAAGGGAUUGCAUUUUUUUUUCUGCCAUAAAUGUGUACUGAAGGGAAUUUGUGUUAGUUAGUGGUUGUUUGAAAAGGGGAUUAUAAGGAGUUUUGAGGUUAUCGUGGGUUUGGGAAACUUGGUUUCUUAUCAAGUCAAGAAACCAAUGAAAGAUGGGACUGAAAUUGUUUUUGCUCCCAUCAAUUUAUGGUGAUCAAUGGAGAAAAUUAGAAGUUAAAUGAGGAGUCCGAAUGAAGAUUUUGGUUGGAUACCUAUCUGAUGGUAAAAGCAAAUGAACCAACUUUUUUGUUUUCCACAGGUUUUGAUGUCUUUAGGUCUGUGUCUAUUCUAUCUUCAAGUGCAUUACAAACUCCAUGAAAUCAGUUAUGGUAAAGGAAUUAUCUGGUAAUUGUAGAACAAUUGAACAAGGUGUUGUCGUUAGUUUUUAUGGAUGAAUGGCUAUGAUUUUGAGUGUUUUAGAGUCAUGGUAUGAUUAUGAAACUUGGGUUCUUGUUAUAACUCGAAUUUUCAGGUGGUAGAACAUAUCAAAAUGGGUUAACAAUAAAGCUGCAAAUUUACCUUUUCAUAACCAGCAGAAGCACAAUAGGUGUUCGACAAAAGUCUUGUGUGAGCAGAACACUUCAAGACCGUUUGAUCACUAAAAUUAGUGAUAUACAAAUUUCUCUUGGAGUCACGUGCUAACGAAGUUAACGAACUGUUAUGUAAUUAAUGUUUAUUAAUAAUUAUAAUUAUUUAAUUAACAGCAAGUUAAGUCAACUUUUUGACU